rnacentral:rRNA from 1 species
UACGGAGGGUGCAAGCGUUGUUCGGAAUUAUUGGGCGUAAAGGGCAGGUAGGUGGUCUUGUAAGUCUGCUGUGAAAUCCCCCGAGCUUAACUUGGGAAGUGCGGCAGAUACUGCAAGACUAGAGUGCUGGAGGGGUUCGUGGAAUUCCCGGUGGUAGCGGUGAAAUGCGUAGAUAUUCGCAAGAACACCGGUGGCGAAGGCGGCCAACUGGACCAUACUGGACGCUGAGGCGCGAAAGCGUGGGGAGCAAACAGGG